rnacentral:rRNA from 1 species
CUAAUACAUGCAAGUCGAACGCGCAGCGAGAGGUGCUUGCACCUUUCAAGCGAGUGGCGAACGGGUGAGUAACACGUGGAUAACCUGCCUCAAGGCUGGGGAUAACAUUUGGAAACAGAUGCUAAUACCGAAUAAAACUUAGUAUCGCAUGAUAUCAAGUUAAAAGGCGCUACGGCGUCACCUAGAGAUGGAUCCGCGGUGCAUUAGUUAGUUGGUGGGGUAAAGGCUUACCAAGACGAUGAUGCAUAGCCGAGUUGAGAGACUGAUCGGCCACAUUGGGACUGAGACACGGCCCAAACUCCUACGGGAGGCUGCAGUAGGGAAUCUUCCACAAUGGGCGCAAGCCUGAUGGAGCAACGCCGCGUGUGUGAUGAAGGCUUUCGGGUCGUAAAGCACUGUUGUAUGGGAAGAAAUGCUAAAAUAGGGAAUGAUUUUAGUUUGACGGUACCAUACCAGAAAGGGACGGCUAAAUACGUGCCAGCAGCCGCGGUAAUACGUAUGUCCCGAGCGUUAUCCGGAUUUAUUGGGCGUAAAGCGAGCGCAGACGGUUGAUUAAGUCUGAUGUGAAAGCCCGGAGCUCAACUCCGGAAUGGCAUUGGAAACUGGUUAACUUUGAGUGUUUGUAGAGGUAAGUGGAACUCCAUGUGUAGCGGUGGAAUGCGUAGAUAUAUGGAAGAACACCAGUGGCGAAGGCGGCUUACUGGACAACAACUGACGUUGAGGCUCGAAAGUGUGGGUAGCAAACAGGAUUAGAUACCCUGGUAGUCCACACCGUAAACGAUGAAUACUAGGUGUUAGGAGGUUUCCGCCUCUUAGUGCCGAAGCUAACGCAUUAAGUA